rnacentral:tRNA from 1 species
UUAGAAGAACAGGACUCGAACCCGCACCUGAGACCCCAAAACUCUCUGUACUACCCAUAUACUACCUUCCA